ACUUGAGAAAGGAUUCAGCCUUGAUGUAUACAGAUUCCACGGGAUCAACAGGAACAGAAGUAUCCGAAGGCUGACCACAACAAUCAAUUAGAAAUCAAACUACAAACCAGGCAAAUAAAACAUUGGAUCGAACAAAAUUAAAAUUCAAACAAAAAGAGAACUUUACAUUAUCCGUGGAAACUGAAAAGGUAUCAGGCACAGAUACUUCGGCUUCAAUCAAGCACUUGAGAAAGGAUUCAGCCUUGAUGUAUACAGAUUCCACGGGAUCAACAGGAACAGAAGUAUCCGAAGGCUGACCACAACAAUCAAUUAGAAAUCAAACUACAAACCAGGCAAAUAAAACAUUGGAUCGAACAAAAUUAAAAUUCAAACAAAAAGAGAACUUUACAUUAUCCGUGGAAACUGAAAAGGUAUCAGGCACAGAUACUUCGGCUUCAAUCAAGCACGUGUCAUUGACAAGAUACCCACCAUUUUCAUCAUGCAAUUCACUUAGAGGAAAAAACGACGUAAAGCCCCAAUCACUUUCUUUUGCAUGAAAUUCGUGUUCUGUUUCUGCAUGAGGCAACUCUGCUUAGUUGCUGUAUCUAAGUUUAUUCAAAGACAGAACACUGAUACAACACGGAGUGAAACUGAGUAGAUAACAUUUCAAAUUUGGGAUACUGAAACCCGUGAUUAAAAGUAGUUUAACAAUUAUAGACACUCGGAAAUAUAGCUAGGCAAUUUCAUCUUCCAGACUGCAUAACAAAGUUACGUGUCUAAGAUCAAGAGAUUUAAGUCCAUACCAUAGUUCAAGUAUUGUCAUCUCAAUG
rnacentral:lncRNA from 1 species